UAGAACAAUGCUGGAAUACACAGAGCAGUUGUUCUGUAGAUACACCCAUUGUCUCUGUAACUGAAGUUCCAAGCAGAGCACUGUCACAAGCAUAUUUAUGACAUAAUCCUCCUGGUCCACACACAGAGAGUACUAUGAACCUAUCGUAUACCUUGUUGUUCUUUUUUGGCAUUAACUUUGCUCUUAUUUCUCAAUUGAUAAAGGGGUUGAUGGUUUCCUGGCUAGACAUGGUAGAUGUCUGAAUCCUGUAAGACAACUGGAACCAAUUUAUCACUGGGCAGAAGCAUCUUCUACUAAUGGAAAUGGCAGAUGUCCAGCCUACCCUUCCAGGAAUGGGAGAGUUCAUAUGGGAGGAGAAUCAUACCCUCAAAAAUUUCAAGAGGUGGAGAUCUGGCAUACUGAGAGAGGGGAUAAGAGAUUCUUCCAGGAAGUGAAAAAUAGUCUAUAUUUUGAUCAGGGUAAGAGGGAAGUUAUAAAAAUUCAUCAAGCUGUAUGUCUGAGAUUACAUUUUACCCAAGUUGCAUCUCAAUUUCUCAAAAGUGGGGAAAAUUUUUCCUCUUCAGAAAUACAGAACCAAAAACUGACCAUGAUGAGCCCAUAGUUGAUUUUAUGAUUUGUUCUGAAAAGCAAUUAAAUGUCUUACAUUUCCAAGAAAAAA
rnacentral:lncRNA from 1 species